rnacentral:rRNA from 1 species
UGAUACAUAGUGUUGCAGGCGAACGAGGGGAAGUGAAACAUCUCAGUACCCUUAGGAAAAGAAAUCAAUUGAGAUUCCCUUAGUAGCGGCGAGCGAACGGGGAUCAGCCCAUUAAGUUAUGUGUGUUUUAGUGGAACGCUCUGGGAAGUGCGAACGUAGAGGGUGAUAUUCCCGUACACGAAAGGGCACACAUAAUGAUGACGAGUAGGGCGAGGCACGUGAAACCUUGUCUGAAUAUGGGGGGACCAUCCUCCAAGGCUAAAUACUCCUGACUGACCGAUAGUGAACCAGUACCGUGAGGGAAAGGCGAAAAGAACCCCUGUGAGGGGAGUGAAAUAGAUCCUGAAACCGCAUGCAUACAAGCAGUGGGAGCCGACUUGUUCGGUGACUGCGUACCUUUUGUAUAAUGGGUCAGCGACUUAUAUUCAGUAGCGAGGUUAACCGUAUAGGGGAGCCGUAGAGAAAUCGAGUCUUAAUAGGGCGUUUAGUUGCUGGGUAUAGACCCGAAACCAGGCGAUCUAUCCAUGAGCAGGUUGAAGGUUGGGUAACACUAACUGGAGGACCGAACCCACUGUCGUUGAAAAGCCAGGGGAUGACUUGUGGAUAGGGGUGAAAGGCUAAUCAAGCCUGGUGAUAGCUGGUUCUCCCCGAAAGCUAUUUAGGUAGCGCCUCGGACGAAUACCAUAGGGGGUAGAGCACUGUUUCGGCUAGGGGGUCAUCCCGACUUACCAAACCGAUGCAACUCCGAAUACCUAUGAGUACUAUCCGGGAGACAGACUGCGGGUGCUAACGUCCGUAGUCAAGAGGAAAACAAUCCAGACCGCCAGCUAAGGCCCCAAAAUCAUAGUUAAGUGGGAAACGAUGUGGGAAGGCAUAGACAGCUAGGAGGUUGGCUUAGAAGCAGCCACCCUUUAAAGAAAGCGUAAUAGCUCACUAGUCGAGUCGGCCUGCGCGGAAGAUGUAACGGGGCUAAAACUAUGUGCCGAAGCUGCGGAUUUGACUUUUA